rnacentral:rRNA from 1 species
AUUGAACGCUGGCGGCAUGCCUUACACAUGCAAGUCGAACGGCAGCACGGGGCAACCUGGUGGCGAGUGGCGAACGGGUGAGUAAUGCAUCGGAACGUACCUUUCAGUGGGGGAUAACGUAGCGAAAGUUACGCUAAUACCGCAUAUUCUGUGAGCAGGAAAGCAGGGGAUCGCAAGACCUUGCGCUGAUUGAGCGGCCGAUGUCAGAUUAGCUAGUUGGUGAGGUAAAGGCUCACCAAGGCGACGAUCUGUAGCGGGUCUGAGAGGAUGAUCCGCCACACUGGAACUGAGACACGGUCCAGACUCCUACGGGAGGCAGCAGUGGGGAAUUUUGGACAAUGGGGGCAACCCUGAUCCAGCCAUGCCGCGUGAGUGAAGAAGGCCUUCGGGUUGUAAAGCUCUUUUGUCCGGAGCGAAACGGUGGCGGUGAAUAUCCGCCACUACUGACGGUACCGGAAGAAUAAGCACCGGCUAACUACGUGCCAGCCGCCGCUGUAACAC